rnacentral:rRNA from 1 species
AUACGGAGGAUCCGAGCGUUAUCCGGAUUUAUUGGGUUUAAAGGGUGCGCAGGCGGCCAUUUAAGUCAGCGGUUAAAUCGUGGGGCUCAACCCCAUUCUGCCGUUGAUACUGGGUGGCUUGAUUGCGGUCGAGGUUGGCGGAAUUCGUUGUGUAGCGGUGAAAUGCAUAGAUAUGACGAAGAACACCGAUUGCGAAGGCAGCUUACUAAGUUAUAACUGACACUGAAGCACGAAAGCGUGGGUAUCAAACAGGAUUAGAUUCCCUGGUAGUCCACGCAGUAAACGAUGAUUACUAGCUGUUUGCGAUAUACAGUAAGUGGCACAGCGAAAGCGUUAAGUAAUCCACCUGGGGAGUACGCCGGCAACGGUGAAACUCAAAUGAAUUGACGGGG